rnacentral:rRNA from 1 species
UACGUAGGUGGCAAGCGUUGUUCGGAAUUAUUGGGCGUAAAGGGCGCGUAGGCGGUUUGUUAAGUCGGCUGUGAAAGCCUGGGGCUCAACCCCAGAGGGUCGGCCGAUACUGGCAGACUAGAGUACGGAAGAGGUAGCUGGAAUUCCCGGUGUAGCGGUGAAAUGACGUAGAUAUCGGGAGGAACACCUGAGGCGAAGGCGGGCUACUGGGCCGAUACUGACGCUGAUGCGCGAAAGCCAGGGGAGCGAACGGG